rnacentral:rRNA from 1 species
UACGUAGGGUGCGAGCGUUAAUCGGAAUUACUGGGCGUAAAGCGUGCGCAGGCGGUUUUGUAAGCCAGAUGUGAAAUCCCUGGGCUCAACCUGGGAAUGGCAUUUGGGACUGCAAGGCUUGAGUGCGGCAGAGGAGACUGGAAUUCCUGGUGUAGCAGUGAAAUGCGUAGAUAUCAGGAGGAAUACCGAUGGCGAAGGCAGGUCUCUGGGCUGACACUGACGCUCAUGCACGAAAGCGUGGGGAGCAAACAGG